rnacentral:tRNA from 1 species
CGCGGGGUAGGUUAAUGGUAAACCGGGCCUCUGUCAAAGGCACAGAUACGGGUUCGAGUCCCGUCCCCGCAG